UCUAAAUGUCUAUCUUUUGUAAUCAAUAGCCCUGCCUGAUUGGCCUCCCUUUCAAGCUCUCUUGCCUUACCCAACACACUAUUAACUCAGGCCCACAUCAUUUCUCCUCAGCAACAGUAGUAGACCUCUAAUUCACCACCACCGCUGCCUUAAGAAAACUCUCACUCCGACUCAUAAUCUAGAAUAUAACUAGAGAUGAUUUUCAAAACGCACAUAUCAUGUUGCACCUUAGACAGUAUUUUUUAGUGAUUUAUAGGGGAUUUGUCAUCAUGUUGAAUGCCUAUCAUUAAACUUUCUAUUUAGGAGAAAUCUCCUAACAUGCAGGACUUCAAGAGACAAAAGGUACAGCUUCUCUUAAGGAAGCUACAAGGAGCAGUGUCUGACACUUUUCUCCCCAAGCCUCCUGGAAUCCAGGCUAUCUGAGCGAGUUGAAGUACUUUAUCCACAAAUAUUGAAAUGUCCUUCAGUCAGUGAAUGGGUAAGUAAACUGUGGUCCAGCCAGCCAAUAGAAUUCACUGCUAAGAAGAAAUGAGUUCUCAAGUCAAGGAAAGACAUGGAGGAAACCCAAAAACAUAUUACUAAGUGAAAAUGGUCAAUCGGAAAAGGCUACAUCCUUUAUGAUUCCAACGUUAUGGCAUUCUGGAAAAAGUAACAUUAUGGAGGCAGUAAAAUCAUCAACUAGUGGUUGAAGGUACAAAGGAAGGAUGAAUAGGUGUAGCCCAGAGGAAUUUUUAGGGCAGUGAAAAUACUUUGCAUGUCACCAUCCAUUAGUUAAAACCCAUAGAAAGUACAGCACCACGAGUGAACCCUAAUGUCCUAAUGCAAAUAGAGGGCUUUGGGGAAUGAUGAUUCAUCAAAAUAGGUCCUCGACUGUAACAAGUGAUAGCAUUCUGCUAAGGAUGUUGCAAGUGGGAGACUGCAUAUGAGGGGAAACAUGGCAACUUUGCACUUUCCCCUCAGUUUUUGCCUAAAACUGCUUUAAAAAAAAAAAAAAGAAAGAAAGAAAGUACUGGCUUAUAAAUUAUGCCAUAAAAAACUUCUUAUACAUGAAGAUAACUUUUUUUCAGAUUCCACUUCAU
rnacentral:lncRNA from 12 species